rnacentral:rRNA from 1 species
AUGCUCUGUCGCUGGACCUUGUUGCACCCUUUACUUUCAGUUGGACUUCGAAGUCAACAUGGUCCACAGCCACGAUGGCACGGGACGGGCCAGUCAAGUGCAAAAAUGGAUCCUGCAGGGAUCAUAGUCAUCAUUGUCGCUGAAUGGAAUGAACAAGGACACAUGCAAGAACAAAAAUGGAAAACAGAGAGAAAUUUGGAAUACGGUACAUACCUCUGGAGUGAGUUUUUGACAGUCUUCCCUUCGCCUAAAGAAGAGAAUGUUGCGGUUGUAGUCCACGGUGUCUCGGGCAGCAACAACACCAUACACAUGGAGUGGUAA